rnacentral:ncRNA from 1 species
UCGGUUCUCAAAUUCAUUCCAAAAAAUUGAGAUUAAAAGGGAAUCCUGUGAAAGGCAGGAACUAUCCCCGUAGCUGUGAGCUUCGAAUAAAGUCUGUUCAAUAAAGUCACUGGCCGUUGAACCGCAUGACCGGGAAGGCGCAACAGAUGGAGCGAGUCAGAAUACCUGCCGGGUGUUG